GUGUGUGAAGAAGGCCUUAUGGUUGUAAAGCACUUAAAUGCGAGGAGGAGUGCUACUGAAGAUUCAUACCUAGAGGAUAGUGGAACGUUACUCGCAGAAUAAGCACCAGGCUAACUCUGUGCCAGCAGCCGCGGUAAUACAGAGGGUGCAAGCGUUAAUCGGAUUUACUGGGCGUAAAGCGCGCGUAGGCGGCUAAUUAAGUCAAAUGUGAAAUCCCCGAGCUUAACUUGGGAAUUGCAUUCGAUACUGGUUAGCUAGAGUGUGGGAGAGGAUGGUAGAAUUCCAGGUGUAGCGGUGAAAUGCGUAGAGAUCUGGAGGAAUACCGAUGGCGAAGGCAGCCAUCUGGCCUAACACUGACGCUGAGGUGCGAAAGCAUGGGGAGCAAACAGGAUUAGAUACCCUGGUAGUCCAUGCCGUAAACGAUGUCUACUAGCCGUUGGGGCCUUUGAGGCUUACAUGGCGCAAGCUAACGCGAUAAGUA
rnacentral:rRNA from 1 species